GUCACCCAGCCGGUAUGGUAGCUAUGACUCGGCUUGAAACCGAGUGGGUUCGGGUUCGAAUCCCGAGUAAGACU